UACGUAGGGAGCAAGCGUUGUUCGGAUUUACUGGGCGUAAAGGACGCGUAGGCGGCAUAUUAAGUCAUCUGUGAAAUCUCCGAGCUUAACUCGGAACUGUCAGCUGAUACUGAUGUGCUAGAGUGCGGAAGGGGCAAUCGGAAUUCUUGGUGUAGCGGUGAAAUGCGUAGAUAUCAAGAGGAACACCUGAGGUGAAGACGGGUUGCUGGGCCGACACUGACGCUGAGUGCGCGAAAGCCAGGGGAGCAAACGGG
rnacentral:rRNA from 1 species